rnacentral:misc_RNA from 1 species
UGGAGCCUUGAGAUUGAGAGGUUCACCAAUGUGGCAUCAAAGCCUCUUCGCUUGAUGAUCCAUUGUUCAGUUCAAGGAAACCCAUUUCUUAAUACUUAUUCCUCUUAAUUAAAAUUUUAGCACACAGCCAUAGGGGUCUAAAUGAACACAUCUCACUCAGUGAAUAACUCAUGGUCAUGAUUGUUAGUAGCUCCUUUUUUAUCUAUAAAGUUCGAAGAAAUGGACUUAUGAGCA